rnacentral:lncRNA from 1 species
CUUCUAAAGGAAACAGGCACAAUUCCAGCUCUAUAUUCAGCAAUUUGAAGGUAGGCAGGUUCAGCCAUAUCAAAAUGUUGCAAAGGAGGGUUACACCAACCACCAUUGUUGUUAGGCAAAGAUGGAUUUGGUGGACAAAAAUUUGUAGCAGUAACAAUAAUAGAACCAGGUUUGCACCAUCUUGGAUCAUCAUUGCAUCUCAUUUCAUAGCAAGAUCCACAGCUUAAACCAUUGUUGAACAAAGCAGUGCUUAGUGCUGCUGUGUUGGUUCCAUAUCCUUGGCUAUACAAAUUUCCAUAUCCACAUGCUCCACCUACAUAUUUUUUUAAAAAUAAAUAAAUAAAUAAAACUCACUAACUUUACCACACUUUUUGUAAUAAACAAAGUAACAAAUAAUAUAUUUUCUUAAGAAAGAUAAAAAUAGUACUAGUGUUGCCUUUGUCCGACUUGAAUUUUUGGAGUUAUGUUUUUUGGUCACACAAAUUGAAAAUAAUGUGCAAAUUUUGAAGUUAAAAAAAUAGUAAGUACAUUUUGUUAAUUGGCAAAGUUUAUAAAUGACAAUUAUCAAAAUUAUAAAUGUGUAUUUAUAAACAUUUCCCCCUGGUGAGUCACUAUGUCUAUAACCAACAUACCUAAACUUUUUUUGUAUAAAAAAGUAUAUAAUUACGAAUUUGUUGUAUAAAGCAUGGAACCAACUGAACACAUAAAAUACUACUAGCCUCUUUUUUUUCAAUGUCAAUUUUUCUAUUGGUUGCCAAUGUUUUUUGUUAAUUUCUCAUUAAAAUAUGGAAUGGAAUUAAAAAGGGAAAAGCAAAUUAUAAAUUAAAAAAGAAACUAAAAACUUGGCUAAACUCACCCAUCGUGCCAGAAGCAUCACCCCCACCAUAGAAAGUGGCAUGACCACCCUCCCAACCACCAUAGUCAGCUAUAGCUCCUUGCAUAUUCAUGUUAAUACACAAAACAACUAGAAUCACUAGAGCAAUAGAAAUUUCUUGGUGUGCCAUUCUAAGCUUCUGAGCCAUUAUGAUAGAAAAGAAACAGAGAAGAAAAUAGGAAAAGUUGCACUUUGUUUGCUAUGUUGUGAUGUCAUAAGCUUAAAAUAGACCUCUAUUUAUAAGUAACAUUUUAAACAACAUGCACAUAUUCAUUUUUAUUUUUUUUCUCUUCUAAAAGCCACAUAACAAGUGACAAAUAAAUUGCACAUGCGUUUGUUCUAAUUGGGUUCCCAACCUCUAAUAUUGUGGGUCAUACAUCUGCACAUGCAUCUUUCUUCUCAACUUUAUAUACCAACAUCAAUAUCAAUUAGUUUAAUAAUUAUUUCCACUUGUUUAUAAUGGAUAAUUGGAUAAGAGCUUAUGUAUGAUUAGAUAGUGCUUGGUGUUAGGAGUUCCAAUAAUAAAAUAAUCAAAACUAAGCCCUUUAUUUUCGGAAAUAAGGAGAUAAGACCCAUUUGAGGUGAAUUGUUUGCAUUUUUAAAAUUAAAAAAUAAUAAUUUCAUUAAUAUUUUAAAAUGUAUUAUCUUUAUUGAGUAUUUCAUUUUAGGCCAUUAUAAUGAAUUAUGCCAAGAGUCUCUCAUUUUGUCUUUUUUUACAAUAAUAUUAGUACGAAGUUUCCACCGCCGCAUGGCAAUGAUUAAUCUUUGUCAAGAAACUUGUGGGGUAAGUAAGAUGGGUUCUUUCUCCCAACUGAAAUUUAUUUUGUCUGAGAUCGAACAUCUGACCACAUAUUUAAGGAGCAAAUCUCUUAUCACUUGGACCAAUUCAUUAUUGGUAGAGUCUCUUAUCUUGUUAUUAGUAAAGAAAACACUAAAUUUUACUUUCAAUUGAAAUGUGUAGGGUCUUAAGGAGAAGAUAAACAAUAUCUUAGCACAUGGAGGAGUAUCUCACUAUAUGAAGUUCUUAAGGACAUUUUCAUGAUGCAUCUCCCCUUUUCUGAUUCUCUUGUAAGGCAGGGAUAGAAUCUUCUUUGAGCUUGAGAAUGUGCCACGUUGACAGCAGUAGAAAUACAUGCUUGUUGGAAAAAGGUGUCAUAUAUGGCAUGGUUAACAACGGCGUGGUGUAUUUAGAUGGAGCGUAAUGAUGUUCUCUUUAAUCAAGCAAAUUUGUCAAAUUUUUGAAGAUGAUCGAUCGCAUAAAACGUUUAUCGUGGUCCGGGUUCAUAUGUGGGUAAGGGCGUAAUAAAAAAUGUUUUCUUGAAUUGGUGGUUGAACCUCAUUGUAUGUCUUUAAAACACGUAACUUCUUUGCUUAUUGUAGUAGAUUUUGAAUACCCCUUCUUUCCAACAAAUAGAAUAACUAUCCCUCUCCCUUGCUUAUGAAAAAAAAUAUGCUUGUUGAUUUAUUCAGUUCUUAAAUGUAAUUUAAGUGUUUGGUUGAUAGUUUAAAAAGAAACAGCUAGCUUUGCUUGUAGUUUGACAAGCUGUGCAUGGUACUAGCAGUGGUUGACAUGAUUACAAAAUUAACCUUCAUGAUCAGAGAAAUAUAAAAAAAAAAUAAUAAUAAUAAUUACACUGCAUUAAUGUGACAAGUGUUUUUUUGGUGGAAGAUCAUGUAGAAAUCAAUAGCAUAUAUUUAUGUGAACCCACAAAUACUAGCUGUUAUAAGAGACAAUUAUAUUAUAGUUAUAUCAUAGAAAAGCCUCUGGUAAAUGUUUGUUUCAUGAGGGAAAUCGUAGUUUGUCUUGUUGUGGAAACUAUGUGGCCUUUUUGAAGCUCUAUCAAUAUCAUGUAAGGCUCUUAUGAGCCCUGCAUGGAAAGAAAUAGAUAUGUUUAAAGGGAUAUUUUAUGGUGCAGGGAGGAAAUUGAUUUUUUUUAAAAAUAUAAUUUUGUUCUUAAUGUUCGAUUCAUUUUUAAAUUGUUGAUCGCUGAUUAAUAAUCAAUAGUAAUUCAUCUAGUAAUGUUUGUAAUUAACAUUUUGGACUUACAUGUACUAUUUUAUCGUUGGCAUCUUUAACAUGCAAACAUAUAUAGUUGAUGAUAUUAUGCGAUAGUCUUAAGUGUUACACUUCUGGGUGUUACACUUCUGGGUGUUACACUUAAAACAAUGUAGGAUAAAAUUAGAUUAAGUGCAGUCUUGUUAAUAUGAUGAAUUGAUGAUACUAUGGGGACUGAACUUUUGAUGUCACCGUACAAACAAUUGGAUGCUACUCAUUAUACUUUUGAUGUUAUAGUGUUGACUUUACCAAAAAUAUCAUUCUCAUGACUUCAUCAUAGAAUUUUCCAUCGAGCGCAAACAGCUAGUCUAGAAAAAUCUUUAGUUGUAUCAUAUAAAGAUUUUUGCCAACAUAUAAUUAGACUGUAUCAUAUAUAUCCCAAAUUACAAAAAUUAAUUUUUUUACAUGCAUUGUAUAAUGUGUUGGUACUAUGUAUUCAGACUUCAAAGCAAAAGAAUAAACCGUGACAAAAAUUGCAUAAAGUAAUGUCAAACAAUAUAUAGAUUUAUUAAAAUACUUUUUUAGUGUGUCAGACAUUAUUGGAAGAAAUUUUCAUCUUUAAUGUUUGAAAAUAUUUGAGAAGAUUGUUUUGUAAAAAAGAUCAUGAUACUAUCGUAUCAUGUGUCAGCAAUUAGUUCAUGAAACAUGAAAUAAAAUUCGACUGAAAUUGGAAUAUGCUAUUAUAAUAACCAUUAACUAUUAUACGAGGAUCUUCAUGCAUCUUAAUUUUCAAAGAAAUUUCCAACUGAAUUAAUUAAAUAAAUGUGUUGGAUGUUUUGUUAGGUCACGUGUAAUGCCAUUGCCAGAAUCUAGUGAUAUAUAUGAUUCAUUCAAGCAAAAAAUUACCAUGUUAUUGGUCGUUCACAGAUAAAAUUUGAUUUUGAAUGAAUUUAUUUUGUAAAAUUUGAUCGUAAUUAAAAGUGAUGUUUAUUCGAUUUUGCGAUGAUAAUGCUCAAUCAGCUUCUAUUUUGUAUAAUAUUUUGGCGAUAGUGUUGGCUAGUCAGCUUCGGAAUGUAAUUAGGGGUAUCGUCUAUGAUGUUCAGUCAGUUUUCAUUAAGGGAUGACAAAUUAUGGGUAGUAUUAUUAUUGGUAAUAAGGUGGUGGAUGAUGCAUGUAAGCUCAAAAAGGAUUUGUUUCGAAAAAACAAAUGAUUAUGUUUAUUGCUCAUAUUUAGAAGUUGUUAUGGUUUAGAUGGAUUUCCCAAUGUUGUGGAGGGAGGAGGUUGUGGAAUGUGUAUCAAACGCAAUGAAUUUAAGAUCAUUUAAUUUCAGAUUGCAUAGAGGAUGUGACAGACAAACAUAUCUCAUAGUAAUUGUUAAGGAGAUAGUACCAUUUAUAAUUUGGUUUGUUGAGAAAUAUUUGUAAAUAUAAUUUAUUUAUUUUUUUGUUAAAAAAACUUAUUUUGCUUUUUAGCAAAAAUAGUAAAAAAGACGCCGCUGCCGGGGAUCGAACCCGGAUCACCCGCGUGACAGGCGGGAAUACUUACCACUAUACUACAACGACUGUUUGAUGUUAACUUUUGCCAAACAACAAUUAUAUUCCUUUUUCGCUUGUUUGUUAUAUCAAUUUACUAAUAAGGUGUUGGAUGACACAUGUAAGCUCAAAAAGGAUUUGGUUUUUUGUAAGUUGAUUUUGAAAAAACAUAUGAUUUUGUUGAUUGCUCAUAUUUAGAAGUUGUUAUGGUUAAGAUGGAUUUCUCAAUGUCGUUGAGGAAGUGGGUUAUGGAAUGUGUAUCAAACACAACGACUUUUGUGCUGGUCAAUGGAAACCUGACAGACGAGUUUCCACUAGAGAGAGGAUUAAGGUAAGGUGAUCAUCUUUCCCUUUUGUUGUUUUUACUUGCGGCAGUAGGGCUCAUUAUUAUGUUAAAUUCACCAACAUCAAUUAGUUUAUUGACUAGGUACAAUGUAGGUAGUACCACAUCUAUUACUAUUUCUCAUUGGAAGUUCAUGAAUGAUACUCUUCUUUUAGCAAAAAAUAGUUGGACUAAUAUUAGAAUCAUCAAAGGGGUGCUUAUUUUAUUUGAAGUAAUUUUAGGUUUGAAAGUCAAUUUUCAUAAUAGUAUAUUGGAGGGUGUCAAUGUACCCAAAUCGUGAAUGAAUGAGGCAACCUUGGUUAUGUAUCGUAGAAUUGGUGAUAUUUCUUUUUUGUACAAUUGGGUUUACCUAUUGGAGGAAAUAUUCAAUUUGGAAAAGUCGUCAUUGUGUAUGGGGGGUCGUUUGCUUUUGUUGAAAUUUGUUUUGUCUUCGCUUCUAAUCUAUUUUCUCUCCUUCUUCGAGGCUUCCACAUGUAUCAUAUCAUGUCUUGAACUUUUUUAAAAUGUUUCUUUUUGAGGUGGAUGCGAGGAAAUUAGGAAAAUUUCAUGAAUUAAUUGGAAUAAUUUGUUUAGAUAAGGAGAGUGGAGGAUUGUGAGUGCACAGAAUUAGAAAAAUUAAUUUAGCGUUGUUAGGAAAUUUAAUUUAAUUUCAUGAAUUGCAAUUUGUUGUUUUUCAUGGUUGUGUAACUUUAUUGUUUAUACAUGUGUUGAGGAGAGUCUUUUGAUUGGUUAUAUAUAUAAUUCAUCUUGACUUGUUAAAAAGAAGGGUUAAAUAUGUUUUUUGGCUCUAAAAAUAUAUCAACUUUUCGUUUUAGUCCUUCUAAAAUUUUCCUUCGACUAUUAAAUUUUCAAUCAUGUGUUACCUUUGUAUUGUUAAGUCAACUUUUUUUUUUGAGAGAAUUUUUAAGUCAACUCAUGUGUUACCUUUGUAUUGUUUUAAUGACUUUAAAAAUCCCUCCCAAAAAAUAUUAGAUUUUUUAAAAAUUCAUGUUAAAUAUCGAAAGAGAGUUUAAUACUCCAGAAUUUUAAAAUGAGUGUCGCUUUAGCCCAUUGCACACAAAUUAAGGAAUGAAAUGAAAUAAUCAUUAGACAUAACACUUUUACUAAAUUUCCCUUACUUUAUAAGAAAAAGACAAACUUAAAGUUGCAUUGAAAAUUAUGUGAGAGAAAAGUUGGAGAGGGUAAAGUUGGAAGAAAAAAAUUAAAGUUGUAUUGGAAAUGUAAAGUGACAUUCAUUUUGAAACAUUUUUUUUUGUUAAAGCGACACUCAUUUUGAAACGGAAGGAGUAUCAUUGAUCUAUUAGCUCACUAGUCUAUUUAAUCUUAAAUCACAUUACUUAUUUAAAUAUGUUCAUAUGAAAUAGACUUUUAAACAGAUUAGUAGGUCUAAUCAGACUUUUAUAAGGUCAUACUCAGACCUAAAAAGUAAGAUUAUGAUAGGUUGUAAGUCAGGCUUAGGCCUUAAAAAAAUGUGACAGGUCAAGCUUAGGCCUUGCAAAGCCUAUUUCCAUCCUACUUGAAAGGAGGAUCAGAAGUUAAGAUAAAAAACUUUUAAAAGACUAAAGACAAAACAAAAAAUUAAAGAGAUUAAAACGUAAAGUUAAGAUAUUUAUAUGAAUUAAAAAACGUAUUUAAUCCUAGAAUGAAAAUCUAAGGGAGAGACCAUGUAGCGGAUGAAACUAGCUACUACCUCUGUUCCUUUUUAAUUGUCAUAUUUUAACAUUUUAUACAAAUCAGGACAAUCAACAAUUGAUACUACUUUUGAUGCAAUAAGUUAUAUUUUUACUAUAAUGACCUUAUUCAUUUAAUAUCUCAUUUCAUAUAUUUCUCUCCGCAAUAAAUAACUAAGGACAAUAUUGGUAAAACAACAUUUAAUGUUGCAUUGAACUUUAAAAGUGACAGUUAAAUAGGAACAAAAACUUUCUUAAAAAGUAACACUUAAAAAGGAACGGAGGUAUUAAAAGGAAAGAGAGAAAAAGAACCCAUGUAACUGAUGAAAUUAUAUUGGACCCUACCAUGUUAGUGGCACAUGCAAGUUUCAGUUUGGCUCUCUUAAAUCUUAAUCCAUGUCGUUUUGCUCUCUUUUUUCUUCUUUGAUGUCAUGUAUCAAUCAAACAUACAAUUAAAUAGCUUUUAUUUUUAUAAUAACUACAAAAUCAAUCAUAUGUGAUACUCUUAUUAUACCAUGAACUUAAAAUACAGUAUAGUCCUCCUUUGUUGAAACUCUUAGUAAUAUUUAUUUUCCCUCAGAAAAAAUCGAACUUUUGUCACUUCCUAGAAGGAAUAUAUGCCCUCUUGGCCGGUUUGUAUUUUCUCCGUGUAGCACCUUCCUAAGGGUUGGACAAGGUAACAGUAUCUAAAUUAAAAAAGAUAUGCAUGCAGAUAAAUCAAAACUAUAUAAUUAAAAUUUUGAUUCCUUAACAAAAUAUGAAAUGAAUCUUCUUUGAUCUAAUGCUACUCUUGGCCUUUGUGUAAGGUAGAUAGACAGUCUUGAGACACGAACUGUAGGUCUUUUCAUUUGAAAGCAUGUUUCCUCUUCCAACCCUCAUUUUUUUGUUUUUUGAAAUAUCUUCCACACCCUCUAAUUAUAGGCUAAAUUACUAUUUUGAUUUUUUAAUUCGAGUCGAUCUGACACCAGAUGUCAAAUCUACACUAUUUCAAGUUAACCUUUCUUGUGCGCCACUUUAUCUUCGAUAUGUGCCACCAGUUUGCCUAAAUCACUAAUACUAUCUUAGAAUUCGUGGUUGAGUGUCUGACACAACCCCACAAAACCGGUUUAUAAAGUGAGAAUUGAUCUCACUUAUAAACACAUGUUCAACUCAUCUUUUAUCCAAUGUGAGACUCUUUAAGUUUUGAAAUUUAUCAACUAGGGUUUUUGCAAUCAACUUCAAGCACAAUAUGAUCUACCUCAAACUCCUCCAUUUUGUAAAUCACAAGUCUAAUUAGGCGAGCAUAUUGUUAAUAUUUAUGCACGUGUGGAACUAACUUGCAACACUAAAAAAAUUACCAAAUUGAAAUUGGAAAUUACGUAAUUUUACUAAAAUAUAAAAUUAUGUUAUAAUAGCCUGAAGUUUAAUUUUGUCUAAAUUAAAACAAAAUAUGUAAAAGGGUAGGCUAAGGAACAAAGUAGGGAGUCACACAGCAAAUUAAAGUCUAAUAUUUUAAUUAAAACAGAAACUCAAUAAGAUAUACCAGAUUUGUUUGGUUUCUGCUGUUGGUUUAGGGAUCAGGGAAGGUUCCUUCACAAAUGAUUGUCCCAAAUUUGGUGAAAGAAUUUGGACUGUCAAAUCUUUUUUCUUUUUCACAAAUGGAUUUUGGAUUUUGUAUAGGACAGAUGCAUUACAGGAUACAAACUUCGCACCGACUUGUAAGGUUCUUAAAAGUGUGUUUGGAUGGGGGAAUGUUUUGAGGGAAUUCAACUACUUUGAGGGUUGGGCUCCUCUUAAGGAGUUAGGGUCCUCUUAAAGAUACUUUGGAACAAAAGUGAUUUGUUCAAGAGUGCUGGGUCAUAGAAUAUAUCAAAUAAGAGAUUGAACAUAUAUUAAAGCAUCAGACGCACAAGAGAACCUUAAAAAAAAAAACUAUGGUAGAAAAGAAAGGUCAACCAAAAGUCAACUUAUUGGAUCAGAAAGAAAAGACGUCACUCAGAAGCUAAAGAAUAACCUCAUCAGACUAUGUUCCUUCAAAAAAAAAUCUCAUUAGACUCUGUAGAGAUCAUCAGACUCAGAAGACUUAGCCAGACACGGAAGACCCCAUCAGACUUGAAAGACCUUCAGACUUCAGAAGAACCUAAGGAACCCAGACUCCACGUCUACGUUAGAUUUGUCGUCUUGUAUAGUUGUCUCCAUAAGGAUUUGAGUACAAUUUUGUCUUCUUCUGACCACGUGUAGAAACAGACAAAGAACUUCAAGGACAAUAAGAAUGAAUGGUUACUUCCAGUUUCAGCAAAGGAUUUUUUAAUGACUAUCUAACUGAAUUAUACAUAUCAGACAAUGGCUCAACUUCCUUGAUUUGAAGCUUCUCAAUGAUUCUUAAUACACUGGCACUCUUCUUCAACGUCUCUCAAAUUCCUUCAUAUAUAAAGAGCUAAAGACCUUAAAAAGAUUAACAAGACUGCUAUUUUUACUAUGUCAUUACUCUACCAAAUCAAAUAGCGCAAAACACAUAGGAUUUUUAUUUCAACUUUUGUAUCUUAGAAAUCCUAAAGUCAUAAGAGUCUAUUCAAACAUUGUCCAGUUUACGCUACCAUUGUUAUAUCAAGUGUAAGAACAAAUUUGUUUAUUGUAGUAAACAAAAAGAAGUCUAUUGCCUGCAAAGCUUGAACAUCAGAAGUCUCUUUCACUUGUGAUAGAUCGAUUGAGCAAUAGAAGUCUCUUGGAAUUGUCCUCGAGCAGUGUAAGUCUCUUCGUAGUGACCUUGAGCAUUAUAAGUCUCUUGCAAGUGUGUUUGACCAAUUGGAAGUCUCUUGGAAGAGUAUUUGAGCAAUUUUAAUCUAAUGAUAUUAUAGUAAAUCUCUUGGAAGUGCAAGGGGACUGGACUACUCCUUUAUUGUGGGAGGAACCAAUAUAAAUUGCUUGUGUCUGGUCUCUCUCUCUCUCCCUCCCUCUCCCUCUCUCUCCCUAAAAAUUAUCUUCUUCUAAUUCCCAAAAUCGUGAACACAAUUAUUGCAGUGUUGAGAACUUUAACUUAGAAUCCCGUAUUUAUUCAAGCCAUGACUUAGGUUGAUCAACCUUUACCUUAUCAUUCCUCGACAUUGUUCCCUCUCCAAGGACAUUUCUAGAAUCGCCCUUCCACAUUCGAUUAUGGAUAGUUACUCUAGUCAUUCUAUAAAUCCGCCCAAUUCGCUUGUCUAGGAAUAGUUGAUAUAUACACGAGAUGUCAGCUUUCAAUAGUAAAAUUUAGAUAGAGAAAUAUUUAAGUGAUCACAACGCUAAAUUAAAUUAUUUGGGCACACACAAAAAUUAGAAUCAUUUAAUUAUUUAAAAAUACACAUUACUUAAUUAUUUCUUUUUCUACCAUUUUACUUUUGUGUAUAUGUGCCAAAAUAAAGUAUCUAAUUUUGAGGCCGUGUCCAAAAAUUUCUUGAUUUUGACAUUGUAAUUUUAGUGGAUGAAAUUCAAAUCUUAUCUUUGAUGGAGUAAAAUGAUCAUUAAUACUAUUUUAUUUUAUUAUAAUUCGUCCUUUGCUAAUUUUUCUUAAUUUUAAAUUUGAUACUAGUGUCCAUGUAAUAACACCCAACUAUGAAAUUUAUGGAUUGUUGUUGAAGUGAUCAACCACAUAUUUACGAGACAUAAAUAUUUUUUCGAAUUUAGAUAACAACGUUUCUCUUUCUUUUAUUUACAAGAACAAAUUUCUCUUAUCAACUAUCAACCACAUAUUUAUGAAAUAUAUUUAAACCAUAUUUUUAUUACAUUUGAGGUUCUAGCUCAAUGGUAAGAGCAAGAGUUUAAUGUAAUCUUAUAAUUUCAAGGAGUAAGAGUUCAAUCUUGUAAUCUCAAAAUACUUAAUUCAAAUCUUUUAAAAAGACAAUUGUAAAAUGAUCAUUAAUAACACAUUAUUUAAUAAAAAAAAUUCUUUCUCAAUUCUUUGAAAUAUCAUAUAUUUAUUAAUUAUUAUAUAAGUAAAUAUUGAAUUCAAGUAACAACAUAUCUCUCAUCAAUGUUACUAAUAUCAAUUGAAAAGAAGUCUCUCAAAAUACAUAAAACUCCUAUAUAUGAAGUGACCAGCGGGUGCUACAUAACAACCUCAGCUACUUUACAGACCAAUAAGAUAAAACAUGGUCUUUCAAAAUCACAGUUACAACUUUUCAAGAACUCGAAUUGAUAAAUGAAUUUACUAUAAGUAUACAAAAGUUAUUAAAAACUCUAAAAUUGAGCUCCUUGAAAGGUUUGACCAAAUUGCCAAUUUGCUGGUGCCACAUUGAAACUUGUCAUAGUUCUACCAUCACUUGUUGUAACUUGAAAUGAGAGGGAUUGUCCAUUAAGAUAAGAGUUGCUUUGCCAAUUUUGACCCCAAUUUCUUGACAUUGGUUGCCAUCCAGUUCUUGACCCUUUGAUGGAUAUAGAAUGAACAUCCCCAGCUCCACCUACAUUGGUGACCAAAACUAGGUUGAAGUAAGAGUGGCCAUUUAUUGUGAACCUUACUCCUCCCUUUUUGAAACAUGCCACCCUAUCAUAAUCACAAAAAUAAUAGCAUUAUUAGACAUGUUAACAAUGAAUAAAAUAAGAUAUAAAUUAGAAGUUUUGAAAAAGAUAUGUGAUUUGAACUUGGACAUCGAGGUUUUUAGGGGUCGUUUGAUGGUCAGGAUAGGGAGACAGAGAUUUAAACAGUUCAUAUCCUGACUAUCAAACGGCCCUUAAAAACCUAUAUAUUUAUUAUAUCCUGGUUAAAUUUCAUGUUUGAUGCACCAAAGAGAUAUAAAGAUUUUAAAAAACGGUUCGUUACAGAGAAAAAGGCCGCGACAAAAAGACUUUACUAACCUUCUAAAGGAAACAGGCACAAUUCCAGCUCUAUAUUCAGCAAUUUGAAGGUAGGCAGGCUCAGCCAUAUCAAAAUGUUGCAAAGGAGGAUUACACCAACCACCAUUGUUGUUAGGCAAAGAUGGAUUUGGUGGACAAAAAUUUGUAGCAGUGACAAUAAUAGAACCAGGUUUGCACCAUCUUGGAUCAUCAUUGCAUCUCAUUUCAUAGCAAGAUCCACAGCUUAAACCAUUGUUGAACAAAGCAGUGCUUAGUGCUGCUGUGUUGGUUCCAUAUCCUUGGCUAUAUAAAUUUCCAUAUCCACAUGCUCCACCUACA